GGUGAUAUAACCCAACUUUAAGGACAAAUUGGUGGAAAUGCUGGAUACCAAUUACACUAGCGGGACUCUGAGGGGAGAAGUCAUGCCAGGCUGAAAUGUUAUUGUUCCAUUCCAGACUCAAGCCUUGGAAAAUGCUUAACACAAAACAGGAGUUCAGAAUUCCUGUGGGAGAAGCCUACUACUUGGCGUCUCAGGAAAAAAAUAUAUAAACUUGGAUUUCAACAUGAGUGGGAGG